GUGAUCCUCCUGCCUCAAUCGACCAAGUUGCUGGGGUUACAGCAUUUUGCUAACGCUAACAGCAAGCAACUAGCCAUCUCCAGGACAACCUCCAAAUGAAGUGGCAGCAGAACAGGUCCCUGGUGACCUCCCUGUGGUUUACACCCACAAGGAUGUAACCAGAGGUCCCCACUGGGCCUAACCAGAAAUGCCACCCAGCCUUCAACAUGGAGAAAAGAGGACAAGCACUCUCUUUGAGAGAAGUUACAUCAGCCUAAUACAUUUCCUCAAGUAACUCCUCCUGAGGAUGACAAGCGGCUCACCUGAGAGGCUGGGGAUCUAUGGGAGACUCCAACAACAUCAUGGCUCCAAGCAGGGGAACAGUAAGGAAGACAGCCAGCAUCAAGAAGGUCACCCGGAAAACUCUACCACUAAAGGAGCUGCCAAAAAUAACACACAAAGGCAAUCAACAGUGCUCUACACAGUGACAAGCUUGGGUGAUCUGAAGGCCCUUUAUGCAGAAAUAGGACCACAUACCCAGUUUCCCACUGAUAGGUCACCAACUUCUAUGGCUUGUGAUUAA